ACGGAAGGCAGCAGUGGGGAAUAUUGGGCAAUGGGCGAAAGCCUGACCCAGCAACGCCGCGUGAAGGAAGAAGGCCUUCGGGUUGUAAACUUCUUUUAUCAGGGACGAAGAACGUGACGGUACCUGAUGAAUAAGCCACGGCUAACUACGUGCCAGCAGCCGCGGUAAUACGUAGGUGGCAAGCGUUAUCCGGACUUACUGGGUGUAAAGGGCGCGUAGGCGGGGAUGCAAGUCAGGUGUGAAAUCUAUGGGCUUAACCCAUAAACUGCAUUUGAAACUGUAUCUCUUGAGUGUCGGAGAGGCAGAUGGAAUUCCUAGUGUAGCGGUGAAAUGCGUAGAUAUUAGGAGGAACACCAGAGGCGAAGGCGGCUUACUGGACUGUAACUGACGUUGAGGCUCGAAAGCGUGGGGAGCAAACAGGAUUAGAUACCCUGGUA
rnacentral:rRNA from 1 species